AACGAACGCUGGCGGCAGGCUUAACACAUGCAAGUCGAGCGCCCCGCAAGGGGGCCGGCAGCCGGGUGGGUAACGGGUGGGAAGUUACCCUUAUCUUCGGGAUAGCCCCGGGAAACUGGAAUUACUACGGAAUGUGCCCUUUGGGGGAAAGAUUUAUCGGAUAAGGAUCGGCCCGCGUUGGAUUAGCGAGUUGGUGGGGUAAAGGCCUACCAAGGCGACGAUCCAUAGCUGGUCUGAGAGGAUGAUCAGCCACAUUGGGACUGAGACACGGCCCAAACUCCUACGGGAGGCAGCAGUGGGGAAUAUUGGACAAUGGGCGCAAGCAUGAUCCAGCCAUGCCGCGUGAGUGAUGAAGGCCUUAGGGUUGUAAAGCUCUUUCACCGGAGAAGAUAAUGACGGUAGCCGGAGAAGAAGCCCCGGCUAACUUCGUG
rnacentral:rRNA from 1 species